rnacentral:lncRNA from 1 species
ACUUAGUGAAUACACGAAGUAGUUUCAUGGAUACCAUUUGCGAUGUAAUCCUUUGAUUUGUGCCUUUGUAGGAUCCAGGCUAAAAUCCCCGGCGCCAAGAGGCACGCUGAGUAGAUGGUUGCCCCAGGAGAAGCCGGACAUGAAUGGGGGUGUCUGGAGUGGUAACAGCUCUCUCCUUCCUCGUUACUGCGAAUUGAUUGUUUCCCUUCCCCAGUACCAUAAUCUUAGAGGCAAACUUCGAGACAGGUGUUUUCAGGCUUUUCCUGUACUCUUAGGAUAUUUGAGUCCCCCCGCCCCUUGUCAAGCACUAAAGUAUAGAGUGUGUUAGAUGUGGUUUUUAAUUUUGUGUUGCUAAAAAAAAAAGUGCAUGAUGGUGAGAGCUCACGUUCUCCUUCGUCCCUUGCUGUCCUCCCCCUGCAAUGCUUCUGUGGCUUCUACUGUCCCUGU